rnacentral:rRNA from 1 species
UACGGGGGGGGCAAGCGUUGUUCGGAAUUACUGGGCGUAAAGGGCUUGUAGGUGGCCAACUAAGUCAGACGUGAAAUCCCUCAGCUUAACUGGGGAACUGCGUCUGAUACUGAGUGGCUUGAGUGCAGGAGAGGAAUGCGGAAUUCCAGGUGUAGCGGUGAAAUGCGUAGAUAUCUGGAGGAACACCGGUGGCGAAGGCGGCAUUCUGGACUGUAACUGACACUGAGGAACGAAAGCCAGGGGAGCAAACGGG